AUUGAACGCUGGCGGCAUGCCUUACACAUGCAAGUCGAACGGCAGCACGGGGGCAACCCUGGUGGCGAGUGGCGAACGGGUGAGUAACAUAUCGGAACAUACCCUAGAGUGGGGGAUAACGUAGCGAAGUUACGCUAAUACCGCAUACGAUCUAAGGAUGAAAGUGGGGGAUCUUCGGACUCAUGCUCAUGGAGUGGCCGAUAUCUGAUUAGCUAGUUGGUGAGGUAAAGGCUCACCAAGGCGACGAUCAGUAGCUGGUUUGAGAGAACGACCAGCCACACUGGAACUGAGACACGGU
rnacentral:rRNA from 1 species